CCAGUAGUCAUAUGCUUGUCUCAAAGAUUAAGCCGUGCAUGUCUAAGUAUAAGCAAUCUAUACAGUGAAACUGCGAAUGGCUCAUUAAAUCAGUUAUCGUUUAUUUGAUAGUACCUUACUACUUGGAUAACCGUGGUAAUUCUAGAGCUAAUACAUGCUAAAAACCCCGACUUCGGAAGGGGUGUAUUUAUUAGAUAAAAAACCAAUGCUCUUCGGGGCUCCUUGGUGAUUCAUAAUAACUUAACGAAUCGCAUGGCCUUGUGCCGGCGAUGGUUCAUUCAAAUUUCUGCCCUAUCAACUUUCGAUGGUAGGAUAGUGGCCUACCAUGGUUUCAACGGGUAACGGGGAAUUAGGGUUCUAUUCCGGAGAGGGAGCCUGAGAAACGGCUACCACAUCCAAGGAAGGCAGCAGGCGCGCAAAUUACCCAAUCCCGACACGGGGAGGUAGUGACAAUAAAUACUGAUACAGGGCUCUUUUGAGUCUUGUAAUUGGAAUGAGUACAAUUUAAAUCCCUUAACGGGGAACAAUUGGAGGGCAAGUCUGGUGCCAGCAGCCGCGGUAAUUCCAGCUCCAAUAGCGUAUAUUAAAGUUGUUGCAGUUAAAAAGCUCGUAGUUGAACCUUGGGCCUGGCUGGCCGGUCCGCCUCACCGCGUGCACUGGUCCGGCCGGGCCUUUCCUCCUGGGGAGCCGCAUGCCCUUCACUGGGUGUGUCGGGGAACCAGGACUUUUACUUUGAAAAAAUUAGAGUGUUCAAAGCAGGCCUAUGCUCGAAUACAUUAGCAUGGAAUAAUAGAAUAGGACGUGUGGUUCUAUUUUGUUGGUUUCUAGGACCGCCGUAAUGAUUAAUAGGGAUAGUCGGGGGCAUCAGUAUUCAAUUGUCAGAGGUGAAAUUCUUGGAUUUAUUGAAGACUAACUACUGCGAAAGCAUUUGCCAAGGAUGUUUUCAUUAAUCAGUGAACGAAAGUUAGGGAUCGAGACGAUCAGAUACCGUCGUAGUCUUAACCAUAAACUAUGCCGACUAGGGAUCGGGCGAUG
rnacentral:rRNA from 1 species